UGGGGAAUAUUGGACAAUGGGCGCAAGCCUGAUCCAGCAAUACCGCGUGUGUGAAGAAGGCCUGAGGGUUGUAAAGCACUUUCAAUAGGAAGGAAUACCUACCGGUUAACACCUGGUAGACUGACAUUACCUAUACAAGAAGCACCGGCUAACUCCGUGCCAGCAGCCGCGGUAAUACGGAGGGUGCAAGCGUUAAUCGGAAUUACUGGGCGUAAAGCGUACGUAGGCGGUUGACUAAGUCAGAUGUGAAAGCCCCGGGCUUAACCUGGGAACGGCAUUUGAAACUGGUUAACUCGAGUUGAAUAGAGGGGAGUGGAAUUUCAGGUGUAGCGGUGAAAUGCGUAGAGAUCUGAAGGAACACCAGUGGCGAAGGCGACUCCCUGGAUUCAAACUGACGCUG
rnacentral:rRNA from 1 species